rnacentral:rRNA from 1 species
AACGAACGCUGGCGGCGUACUUAACACAUGCAAGUCGCACGAGAAAUCCCGAUUCGUCGGGAGAGUAAAGUGGCGAACGGGUGAGUAAUACGAGGGUAAUCUACCCUUAAAUUAGGGAUAACCUUGCGAAAGCGAAGCUAAUACCUGAUAAGACUACGAUCUUCUAGGAGAUAGUAGGAAAAGAUGGCCUCUGUUUCAUGCUAUUGUUUAAGGAUGAGCCCUUGCACUAUUAGCUUGUUGGUGGGGUAAUGGCCUACCAAGGCUACGAUGGUUAGCUGGUCUGAGAGGAUGAUCAGCCACACUGGAACUGAGACACGGUCCAGACUCCUACGGGAGGCAGCAGUGAGGAAUAUUGCGCAAUGGGGGAAACCCUGACGCAGUGACGCCGCGUGAGCGAUGAAGGCUUUCGAGUCGUAAAGCUCUGUUAG